rnacentral:lncRNA from 1 species
AAGGAGUUCGGUGCAAGUCUGUCUCAGCGGGGACCAGUCCUGGGGCAUUUCCCCACUUCUGCAUGGACUGAGGAUACAGAUAAAGCAGUCCAUAGGGGUCCCAGGGGCCUCGGUCAUACUGAUGUCCCGCCAAACCUCAGCUGUACGGUAUUGUCCUCAUCGGAUCAGGUCUCCGGGAAGUGCUAAGCACACCAGAUGUCCUGUCCAGGCCUGUGUGCCCAAGGGAGGGCAAGGAGCCUCAUGGAAUCUCAGGUGGCGACAUUUCCAGGGGUCUAGCGAUCUGGGGCGGGCAAUGAUCCCUCCCCCUAAAGUGCAGGCCUGGAACGUGGAAGUGAUGUCUGGAGCUAUAGCAACCUUCUGUGACCAUGAGGGAAAGGCCAAUAGGAUUGCAGAAAUGCUGGGCUGACACCUCUGGGCUGUGGAACUAACAGCCAUGCCUGCCUCCAGACUUCUUGUUAUGGGAG